rnacentral:rRNA from 1 species
UACGUAGGGUGCAAGCGUUAAUCGGAAUUACUGGGCGUAAAGCGUGCGCAGACGGCUAUGCAAGACAGAUGUGAAAUCCCCCGGGCUCAACCUGGGAACUGCACUCGAAACUGCCUUUCUUGAGUACCGGAGAGGAAAGCGGAAUACCUGGUGUAGAGGUGAAAUUUCGUAGAUAUCAGGUGGAACACCAGUGGCGGAAAGGCGGCUUUCUGGACGGUAACUGACGCUGGAGAACGCGAAAAGCGUGGGGAGCAAACAGG